CAGUAUCCGCGGUAACACGUAGGGUGCGAGCGUUAAUCGGAGUUACUGGGCGUAAAGCGUGCGCAGGCGGUUAUAUAAGACAGAUGUGAAAUCCCCGGGCUCAACCUGGGACCUGCAUUUGUGACUGUAUAGCUAGUGUACGGUAGAGGGGGAUGGAAUUCCGCGUGUAGCAGUGAAAUGCGUAGAUAUGCGGAGGAACACCGAUGGCGAAGGCAAUCCCCUGGACCUGUACUGACGCUCAUGCACGAAAGCGUGGGGAGCAAACAGGAUUAGAGACCCCUGUAGUCCCUGUCUCUUAUAC
rnacentral:rRNA from 1 species